CUCCAAUCCCCAGUCUCUCUCUUUCUACACAUACACAUUAAUGUAUAUUUAUCUAUAAGACUCUUUACGUGAGCCUUUUGUUACAUGAAUAUUCUCUGUGUUUCCUGUUGUUGCUGCUGGCAGCAAUGCUAUUAAUGAGAGUCAGUGUCCAAAUCCAUGGUUUCACGGGUUGGUUUAACACCAUCAUUAGCGGCUGUGCGCCUGUCAUGAUUCAUUUUCACCUUGCAUUUGUGCUCCUGUAAAGGAGGGAAAGGCGUAGACAUGGUUAAGAAGAUGAACUGGAAUGCAUCUUUCAUGCUCUUACAUUGGAACGCAAGCAUUUUUCUUUCUUCUGUGAUUAACUGUGACUGUGAGCCUCAGUUGGCUGCCUGGUGCUGCUGAGGUUACCUGACUGCAAAGGUACAUUUUAACCCAAAUAUGUUUCGGAUAAACACAGGGAAUUAUAAAUGGCCAAGCUCUACGUUUUUAAUCUUCUGUGGCAUAUUUGUGUUAUUUCUCUUAGAGUCAAUCCCUCACCUCCAUGCCAAGAGACUGAACACUUUCUAAUGAGACAAAUGUCACCAUAUUAUGGUACAUUGCACCUUUCACAUUGAAAAUUACACAUAAUUGGUUAUUAUUUAACAAGGUUCAUAUGUCUACUAGUGUCAAUUUAGUCCUGUAUUUACUUACAAAUUUAGACAAAACAGUAACUGCAAAUCAGGAUGUCCAUGUUAAACUGCUAAUUAACGUGAAGUUGGUGAGUCGUGCGACCAGAGAUUGGGUCCCGUCACAAUUGGGUUUCAGCAGAAGUUGGACUUUGUUCCGCUUUGCAUAAACAAAGUUCCCAUUAUAGUGCUUGAAAACACAUGGUUACACAGGUGCAUCAACAUAUACUGAAACUAUCAUGCUUCUAAUUAAAUUUGGAUGAAGUGUCUCCAAUAUACAAAACUUUAUUUUAAACCCUAUUAUUAUUUUUAUUUUAGCAGAAGUUAUAUAAAUAUUUUUAAAAUAACACUUUAUUUACAAUACGUGUAAACUGUAAAACACAAUUACAGAAUAAAACGUUAGAGGUAUAGUAAGCAGAAUUUAGUGGUUAACAUUUUCUUCCUUUGUGUUCUCUUUAUCUCAGCACAGCAUGAAGGAAGGAAACACAGUGUAAAACACAUUAUAAACAUACUCAGAAUGCAUUGUAUUUGUAAGUGCAAAUUGCUAUGGUGCAAGGGACACAGCAGGUGGCUGUAAAGAGCUUUUGUUGUAGCUGGCCUGUGUGUAUGUGUUUUUUCUUGUUUUUUUUUUUUUUGAGGGAGCAGGGUGGGACGAGACGUCCGCUUAGUUGAUGAUCAUUGGCUAAGGCUGAGUAAGGUUUCAUGGUAAGCCAAUCAGAGGAAGUGUUUACACUAAAUCUAACACGCACACAGCCGGCAUACACCCCCAGCUAGCAAAGGUGAGUGGAUGCAAUGUCGUGUCUGAAAGGCAAGUUGGCGUUUUCAAAAUGGCCAUACAGGCAGUACUUCAGUCUCCUUGAGGUAAAAGGCAAGAAAGUACAUGCGAAGUGUACAUUAUGCCGCGGAGUGAAGUGUUUCCACGUCCGUUGUAAGCCACUGUAUUGUAAUGAAUCGUCUCUCAACAACACACACUUCUACAAACGUAGUAGCCAAAACCACCGUUGUUGACACUGUUGACUAUGACAGCGAGCCUGAUGUGACCGUAUAAUUUAUUUAAUGAGGUAAAGCACGUCAUAGUUAAACAUUUUUACUUUAUUUUUUUAAGAAAAUACAUUAACUGUUAGUAUGUACAGAGAGUUUAUAUUGUUAAACUGUAUUUCUGUCAUGAAAAUACUUGAAGCACACUAUAUCUACCAGUUGUGGUCUGUUGAGGUGCAUUAAAUAUAUAUAAAAAUUCUAUAUAAGUACCUGUCUAUACAGUUCUGGCUUGUAAAACUCACUGAGAGAAAGAAAAAUGAAAUUCUUAGUUUUGUUUAAACUUAGUAACACAAUAGUUACUUUCCCUGGGAACUAGUUACUUUUAUUGUGUAGUAUUUCAGUUAAUAACUUUGUUACUUUUUGGGAGAAGUAACUAUAACUAAUUACUUUCUAAAGGUAAUGCGCCCAAAGCUGGUUGAGAUGCUGGGGAUCAACUGCAGCAGCAACAUCAUCAGUGGCAGCAGCAACAUCAGCAGCAACAUCAUCAUCAUCAGCAACAUCAGCAGCAACAGCAUCACCAUCAGCAGCAGCAGCAGCAGCAGCAGAAGAUAGUCUCUUUCAUCAUGCAGGCCUUGCUUAUUACCUGAAGGUAUGUUUCACUGGAAUCCCAUCAGCAUGAGUGACACGUCUUGGAGAAUUAGCUUGAGGACAGAAAAGAGCAGAAAGGCUCCUGCAGGAGACGCAGACUCUCCUUUAAUCAACAGCUGAAUCCAGAGCUGAUGAGCCAGAGCACCAGUGGGCGUCGCCUUCAAUCAGGAAAUGCAGUACUUACGCUCCAGCUCCACGAGGAUUCAGUGCCAGAGUGUCCCUUCUAACUGGUGAGGGAAAGUCUGAAGCCUCCGAACCCUGGGGAUUAAUGCCUGGUGUGAUGUGAUGGAGUCCAAGUGCAAUCUGCAGCGCUGCUGGACUGUGACACCUGGGGCUGAAGGGCGGCACUCGAGAAAAAAACCUGAACGUGGCUCCACGUAACCAUGACAACGGUUGAGACAUUAAAACCACCCAACAACAAAACUGCAGUCCAAGUGAAUAUGUCUGAGCCAGAGUCAGACCCAGAACCAGAAGAAGCUCCAGAGACAGUUUGGCAGUGGUGAGUUGUUAAGGUUGUUAGCUCAGCUGGCCGGCCACCAGGCAGCAGCUCCACGACUGAGUCUGUGUUCUUUCAUUUUUUUUCAUAACACUUUGUGUCCCCUCUUCUGUGGACAGUUAUACUUUCACAAGAUUUUAUUUUCCUUCGCUGAUUUUCUUUCUUUUUUCUGUUUUUUUUGGGCUGCUCUUAGUUGUGCCAAUGAAUGCAAAGCUCAACUUGAGCGUUGUUUCCACUUGCAAUCAGCUGAUACCACAAUUUAAGCCUGCAUAGCUGUGGGGAGCCAGGUCUGAAGUCCUGCCAGAGAUUUUUUGGAGAGGCUGAUGUUGUAGAGCUGGAGCUAAAGUGAAAUCAGGAGGAGGAUUUACAGACUUGCUGUACCAGACACUAUCGUAGUCUGUUUCACAGAGGCCCUGUAAAGAUUCAAGACAGCUCAGCAGACACAGACACUUCCUGUUAGGUAGUACAGCAGGCGGAGGGGGGUUGCGUUAUAUGUAAAUGAACGGUGGUGUAACCCAGGUCAUGUGGCUGAACCAGAGACAUUAACUUUUCUCUCUGGGAUGAUGUUCAU